UACGGAGGGGGCUAGCGUUGUUCGGAAUUACUGGGCGUAAAGCGCACGUAGGCGGAUUGGUAAGUUGGGGGUGAAAUCCCAGGGCUCAACCCUGGAACUGCCUUCAAAACUCCCAGUCUGGAGGUCGAGAGAGGUGAGUGGAAUUCCGAGUGUAGAGGUGAAAUUCGUAGAUAUUCGGAGGAACACCAGUGGCGAAGGCGGCUCACUGGCUCGAUACUGACGCUGAGGUGCGAAAGCGUGGGGAGCAAACAGG
rnacentral:rRNA from 1 species